AACGGACGAAAUCUUCCAGCGCCUUGAUCGGACGAUCCGCGACGCAUCCGACCUGAUCCCAUCUCUGCAGCGCGAUCCAACGGCAGCGCUUCACCCAGAUCGUGAUCCGACGGCCCAGAAUCGCUCCCGGCUUGAUUUAUUAGAUGAAUUGGGUCCUUUAGAUGAAGAUCGGACGGCUGAAAUAAUUUCUAGGGUUUCUUGAUGGAUUUAAGUACUUUUUGAGCGAGAUUUGAUCCCCUAAACCCCUCUAACAGCCCUCUAAAAUCUCUUAGUCCCACAUCUAAAGUUUUGAAAAUCUGAUAACCCCCAAAUGCCUAUAAAAAGCCCCCAAAGGCCCUUGUUUUAAUGAUUCUUUCCUUCCGAUCAAGCUGGUAACCC
rnacentral:lncRNA from 1 species